GGCGAUACCAUGCAGUCGGACGAUGAAGCCCUUCGGGGUGGAUUAUGGCGAACGGGUGAGUAACACGUGAGCAACCUGCCCUUGACUCUGGGAUAAGCCUGGAAACUGGGUCUAAUACCGGAUACUACUUCCUGCCGCAUGGUGGGGGGUGGAAAGCCUUGUGCGGUCUUGGAUGGGCUCGCGGCCUAUCAGCUUGUUGGUGGGGUAAUGGCCUACCAAGGCGACGACGGGUAGCCGGCCUGAGAGGGUGACCGGCCACACUGGGACUGAGACACGGCCCAGACUCCUACGGGAGGCAGCAGUGGGGAAUAUUGCACAAUGGGCGCAAGCCUGAUGCAGCGACGCCGCGUGGGGGAUGACGGCCUUCGGGUUGUAAACCCCUUUCGGCAGGGAACAAGCCUUCGGGUGAGGGUACCUGCGAAGAAGCGCCGGCUAACUACGUGCCAGCAGCCGCGGUAAUACGUAGGGCGCGAGCGUUAUCCGAAUUAUUGGGCGUAAAGAGCUCUAGGCGGUUUGUCGCGUCUGCUGUAAACCCGGGCUCAACCCCGGGUCUGCAUGGUACGGCAGGCUGGAGUGCAGUAGGGAGACUGAAUUCCUGGUGUAGCGGUGAAAUGCCAUAUAUCAGGAGGAACACCAUGGAAGGCAGUCUCUGGGCUGUAACUGACCUGAGGAGCAAAGCAUGGGGAGCAACAGGAUUAAUACCCUGGUAUCCAUGCCUAAACUUGGCACUAGGUGUGGGGGCCAUUCCACGGUUUCCGCGCCCAUCUAACAUUAGUGCCCCGCCUGGGAGUACGGCCGCAAGGCUAAAACUCAAAGGAUUGACGGGGGCCCGCACAAGCGGCGAGCAUGCGAUUAUUCGAUGCACGCAAAACCUUACCAAGGUUGAAUGUGCCAAACCUUCCCAGAGAUGGGGCUCCUUCGGGCCGGUUCACAGGUGGGUGCAUGGUUUUCUCACCUCUGUCGAAAUGUUUGGGUUUAUCCCCGCAACGAAGCGCCAACUUCUUUCCUGUUGCCAGCCUUUCGGGUGGGAACUCAUGGAAAAACUGC
rnacentral:rRNA from 1 species